ensembl:lncRNA
CAUUUACAACUCAUUUCACAAACAAGACACAGAACUCAUUUUAACAGGACCGUGACAGCGAGACAUGAAUUUUUACAUCAUGCCAAAAAACAAAAACAAAUCAUUAAAGUCAUUUUGAAAUGUAUAUAAAUCCUUGUAUAGUUUAAACAUGACAUUUUCUGUUCUCUUUUUUUCUCUCCAUAUAUAAGCACAUAACUAUCUAUUUCAACCCAGGAUGUAAUUUGCAGUAGUAUCUGGACUGUUCAGGUCCAGUCAUCUCAUUUUACAAUAGGACAUCAUUCCUACACACUUAUUAUUUAUAAAGACAGGGACAUAAUCCACACACACACAUAUCAUUUUCAGAGAAUAACAGAACAUGUUUCGGGAGGGUGAAAAUUAUUCCAGUAAACUCUGCUCAUCCAUCUAUGGAUAUUGUACAUGACAGUAUCUGGGGGGUCCCAAAUGGAACCCUGGUCAAACUAAGUGCACUACUUAGUGAAUAGGGUUCCAUGGUCAAACUAAGUGUACUACUUAGUAAAUAGGGGUCCAUGGUCAAACUAAGUUGUACUACUUAGUGAAUAGGGGUCCAUGGUCAAACUAAGUGCACUACUUAGUGAAUAGGGGUCCAUGGUCAAACUAAGUGCACUACUUAGUGAAUAGGGGUCCAUGGUCAAACUAAGUGCACUACUUAGUGAAUAGGGGUCCAU